rnacentral:rRNA from 1 species
UACGGGGGGGGCAAGCGUUGUUCGGAAUUACUGGGCGUAAAGCGCGUGUAGGCGGCUCUUCAAGUCGAGUGUGAAAGCUCCAGGCUUAACCUGGGAAUUGCGCUCGAUACUGUUGAGCUAGAGUGUGGAAGGGGCUACUGGAAUUCCGUGUGUAGCGGUGAAAUGCGUAGAUAUGCGGAGGAACACCGAUGGCGAAGGCAACCCCCUGGGCCUGCACUGACGCUCAUGCACGAAAGCGUGGGGAGCAAACAGG